CGCGGUAUUUUGACUGUGCGAAGGUAGCAUAAUCAUUUGUCUUUUAAUUGAAGACUUGUAUGAAUGGCUGAACGAGAAAAUAACUGUCUCUUUAAAAAAUCUUGAAUUUUACUUUUAAGUGAAAAGGCUUAAAUAAUUUUAAGGGACGAUAAGACCCUAUAAAUCUUUAUAUUAUUUUUCUUUAACUUUCAAAUUAUAUAUUAAAAGAAAUAAAAGAAAAAAAAUAUUGUAUUGGGGAGAUAAAAAUAUAAUUUUUUUUAACUGUUUUAAAUAUAAAACAAUAAUUUUUGAUUUAUUAAAAAUUGAUCCUUUUUAAAGAUUUUAAGAUUAAGUUACUUUAGGGAUAACAGCGUAAUUUUUUUUGAGAGUUCUUAUCGAAAAAAAAGUUUGCGACCUCGAUGUUGAAUUAAAAUAUCCUUAUAAGUGCAGAAGCUAUAAAGGAAAGUCUGUUCGACUUUUAAAAUUUUACAU
rnacentral:rRNA from 1 species